CCAAUAGCGUAUAUUAAAGUUGUUGCAGUUAAAAAGCUCGUAGUUGAACCUUAGGCCCGUGCGGGCGGUCCGUCCUCUGGGCGAGCACUGCCUCGUCGCGGGUCUCACCUUCUGGCGAGCGUGGAUGCCAUUUAUUUGGUGUCUGCGGGAACCAGGACCUUUACCUUGAAAAAAUUAGAGUGCUCAAAGCGGGCUCUUACGCUUGAAUACAUUAGCAUGGAAUAAUGACAUAGGACGACGGUUCUAUUUUGUUGGUUUCCGGGACGGUCGUAAUGAUUAAUAGGGAUAGUUGGGGGCAUUCGUAUUCAAUUGUCAGAGGUGAAAUUCUUGGAUUUAUUGAAGACGAACUACUGCGAAAGCAUUUGCCAAGGAUGUUUUCAUUAAUCAAGAACGAAAGUUGGGGGAUCGAAGACGAUCAGAUACCGUCGUAGUCUCAACCAUAAACUAUGCCGACUGGGAAUCGGGCGAUGUUAUUUUUCGUGACUCGCUCGGCGCCCCGAG
rnacentral:rRNA from 1 species